CCUACGGGUGGCAGCAGUGGGGAAUAUUGCGCAAUGGGCGAAAGCCUGACGCAGCGACGCCGCGUGAGGGAUGAAGGUCUUCGGAUCGUAAACCUCUGUCAGCAGGGAAGAACGGUCACUGUGCUAAUCAGCAGUGCAUUGACGGUACCUGCAAAGGAAGCACCGGCUAACUCCGUGCCAGCAGCCGCGGUAAUACGGAGGGUGCGAGCGUUAAUCGGAAUUACUGGGCGUAAAGCGCUCGUAGGCGGUAUGUCAAGUCAAGGGUGAAAUCCCCGCGCUCAACGUGGGAACUGCCUUUGAAACUGGCAAGCUGGAGUGUGGUAGAGGAUAGUAGAAUUCCAGGUGUAGGGGUGAAAUCCGUAGAGAUCUGGAGGAACAUCAGUGGCGAAGGCGACUAUCUGGCACAUAACUGACGCUGAGGAGCGAAAGCGUGGGUAGCAAACAGGAUUAGAUACCCUUGUAGUC
rnacentral:rRNA from 1 species